CCUGGCUUCGACGUGGGUCGUGAAGCCCGAGGUGCAUGCCGAGCUGUAAUCAACUCGUAAAACUGAUUGCAAAAAACUUAGUUGCCAAUGACGACAACUACGCACUAGCAGCUUAAAAAACUGCAUAGCGCCCUCCGCCCGGUUCUUGCCCGUGAGCGCCGGAGCCCGGAGGUCACACGACACGGGACCGCAGUGAAGCACGCCUGGUGUGGAUCUGUUAAAACUUAUCCAGGCUCGUGACAGGUGCUCCCUCGCCGACCGGGUAGCCUGACACUAAAACAGUAGGACGGCUAAGCAUGUAGAGCCAAAGGUGAAUCACUUGCGGACGCGGGUUCGAUCA
rnacentral:tmRNA from 1 species